AAACAAGAUUGGUAUGUCACUGCAAUGGUUGAAAGAAUCAAGUGCAGUAGAGAUUGCUUUCAAUGGUCAAAGCAUCCAUGGGCGGAACGUUUGUGGAUUGAUGGGAAAUAAUAAUGAUAAUCCAGCAGACGAUUUGAUGAAACCCGAUGGGACCAUCGUCACCGACGUGUACGAGUUUGGAAACAGUUGGGUAGUGCCAGGCAGCUGCCCAUAACAACGAAUGAUGCUGAUGACACGAAUGUACUGAACACCCAAACAACUAAAAUUCAUUCAUAAAAAGAUGUGACGGGAUCAAGAUCAAUAUUUUGCUUGUUUUUCAAUAUACAUGCAUGUUAUAUUGUUGUGGCUGUAGAAACAUUUGUAGUUAUGACAUGGUUGGCCUGCAUACGUCACAAAAUCUAGUUGGAUGGAACAGAGGUGCAAACAAAUGCGUUGUAGUCGGUUAAUUCGUUAUUAAAACAUAUAAUUUAACUUUUAAUGAGAAAAUAUGAUAACUAAGGAAUGAGCUCGUUUUCUUGUUAACAUAAUAUAUAGUUUAUUUUGCGUUGGGAUUAUAUAAAUAAUGUAAUAUUUGUAGUUUAAUGUGGAAAAAUAAAAGGUUUUUGGAAAUGCA